rnacentral:lncRNA from 1 species
AAAGCUGGAAGAGUCUACAGUGUUCCCCAGCAUGCUGUUAGCAUUGCUGUAAACACACAAGUUAAGGGCAAGAUUCUUGCCAAGAGAAUUAAUGUGCAUAUUGAGCACAUUAAGCACUCUAAGAACUGAAAUAGCUUCCUGAAACGCGUGGAGGAAAAUGAUCAGAAAAAGAAGGAAGCCAAAGAGAAAGGCACCUGGGUUCAACUGAAGUGCCAGCUUGCUCCACCCAGAGAAGCACACUUUGUGAGAACCAAUGGGAAGGAGCCUGAGCUGCUGGAAGCUGUCCCCUUUGGAUUCAUGGCAUAA